rnacentral:rRNA from 1 species
CCCGCCUGCCCUGUGACAAUGUUUAACGGCCGCGGUAUUCUGACCGUGCAAAGGUAGCGUAAUCACUUGUCUUUUAAAUGAAGACCCGUAUGAAAGGCAUCACGAGAGUUUCACUGUCUCUAUUUUCUAAUCAAUGAAAUUGAUCUACUCGUGCAGAAGCGAGUAUAAUUACAUUAGACGAGAAGACCCUAUGGAGCUUCAAACACAUAAAUUAACUAUGUAAAUUAUUAACCCCACGGGUAUAAAUAAAAAUAAUAUUUUUAAUUUAACUGUUUUUGGUUGGGGUGACCAAGGGGAAAAAUAAAUCCCCCUUAUCGACCAAGUACUCAAGUACUUAAGAAUUAAAACUACAAUUUUAAUUAAUAAAAUAUUUAUCGAAAAAUGACCCAGGAUUUCCUGAUCAAUGAACCAAGUUACCCUAGGGAUAACAGCGCAAUCCUUUCUCAGAGUCCCUAUCGCCGAAAGGGUUUACGACCUCGAUGUUGGAUCAGGACAUCCUAAUGAUGUAACCGUUAUUAAGGGUUCGUUUGUUCAACGAU